GCUGGGAUUACAGGCGUGAGCCACUGCACCCAGCCAACUUCACCUAGAUUUUAGAAGACGGAGACAUCCUGAUCAUACCAAGACAAGAAUACAGUUCCAUAGACCUUACUGGCCUAGUGUGUUUCCAGGAAGUCUGGAACUUCCUGGGUGGACCUCCUGCCUUUACCACGACUUCUUCCAAGGAGAAAGCUAGAACUCAAGCCCAGUUCAACUCUGUGUUUUCCUUUCUGCCCUUGGAUACCUUCCUACCAGUCUUGCUCAAUUUGGGCACUCCUGACAUUUUGGACUGGAAAUUUUUGUUGCUGUGGGGGGCUGUCCUGUGCAUUGUGAGGGGCUGUCCAGAAUCCCUGGCCUCUACACCAAAUUGCUAGCAGUCGUCACUCCCCGUCUCAGUUGUGACAACAGAAAAUGUCUACAAACAUUGCCAAAUGUUUGGGGGAGGUAGAAGGAGAAGGUAACAACAUUGGCCUGGUUUGAGAGCCACUAAACCAAACCAGCCAUGGAAUAGAUGCCGUGGAGUCUAGCCGUGAACUGUUGUCCAGGAGGCGGCUGGGGAGGAAUUCACAAAUGUUCCCAGCACAGGAUCUGGCAAUUUCUGUGUAAACUUUUCUUCCAGUGAUAUUUAAUUUUUUUAUCAUCUCCAAAUGGUAAUCGUUUGCAAAUUAAGUGGUGUUUAUCCUCCUGGCUAUGAACUCUUAACAGAGUGCAGGAGCUUUUUUGUUUUGUUUUCUUUUGGUGUGUAUGUGUGUGUUUUCUGGUCUGCACGGUUCUCAGUCCCUCAGAACCAUUUAUUUCCUUUUAUUGUUGUUUUCCUCACUUGGCUUCCCCGCUCCACCAGACAGGCUUAAUAACUGGCAAUCAUCACAUCGCAGGGCAAAGCAGUCGGCAGCCACCCCCGCAACGGAGGAAUCAGAGCCUGAAUGCUCUGGAACUAUUGCCUCUUUUGUUUUUCCAGGCAGACUCCAGUUUUGUCUCUUGACUAUCCCUGAAUAAAGAGAAUCUUAAAACAUCAUGUGGCUGCAAAUGGCUUCACAUAAGCUGGAAGGAGCAAUAAACAGGAAGUCCACAGCAAAGGAGAAAUAAAAAUGAUCAGUCAAUUAGGCUGUGAGAAUGACUUCACUGAGCGCCCCCCCACCUCCACCUCCAAGGCAUCUUUGGAGGAAACUGGGCUGCAUUAAUCAGGCCUGGGCAGGCAGGCCCCAGAGCAGAGCUGCCAGGAGGGAAGGCCUGCAGUGAGCCAGCGAUGGGGAGUGAGUGCCACACCACUUCCAGAGCCAAAGAUCUGCCAGGAGGGGCAGGACAAUGUGGCCCACAUGCGGUGAGCAAAUCAUCCAGCCAAGUUGCAAAACUUCCAUGACACUCUUUUAUCCUGUCCUGGGGUGGGAUGAGAGGCCCCACGAUGAGGAAUGAACACAAUUGCCCCGGUGCUGCAGCCCACACCUGGCUGCUCUGGUGACACUCUGGACUCUCACAUUCAGACAGGACCCCCCACAGUGUUCUUGAGCCAUCUUGGCCCCGAGAGUCCCAUGUCUAGGGAACUUGCUGCCCUUCCCAGCCACCACCAGUGCCUAUGGCUUAUAUGCCCAGGUAUCCUGACCCAGUGAUGCCCCUCCAGAGCAGGAAUCAUCACCACGAUAAGUUAGGCCCGGCUCCACCCUACCCAGGAGGCCUUCCUGAAAACAGCAUCACAGAGAAUUCGGAGGACAACAUAGCUACUGCUUUGAUGUCGGGCUUAAAGAGAAAGCAUGCCUCCUAAAGCAGAGAGAGAGGAGAGAAAGAGAUAAUCAGCCUCUCGGUGUCUCAUUUCAUGAAGAGGGUCAGAUUGUACAAAUGGGGAGUUAAAUAAAAAAGGAUGUAGGAGGAGGUUCAAACUAAUUUGAGGUCAGAAAAGUGAGAAACAUAUUUUUAGUUUCUAAGACCACCUAAAGAAGGCAGGGUAGUCCAGGCGUGGUGGCUCACUUCUGUAAUCCCAGCACUUGGGGAGGUUGAGGCGGGAGGAUUGCCUGAGCUCAGGAGUUUGAGACCAGCCUGGGCAACAAGGUGGAACCACAUCUCUAAAAAAAAAAAAAAAAAAUAGCCAGGUAUGGUGGUGCAUGCCUAUAGUUCCAGCUACUUGUGGGGCUGAGGCGGGAGGCUCUCUUGAGCCCAGGAGAUCAAGGCUGCAGUGAGCCAAGAUCAUGCCACUGCACUCCAGCCUGGGUGACAGAGCAAGACUGGGUCUCAAAAAAAAAAAAAAAAAAAAAAACCAGGGUAUACCACAUGUAGAAUAUUAUGAUUUAAAAGUAGUUCCCUCUCCAAUCCUAGUUCCUCUAGUCCAUCUUAUUUUAUUUAUUUAUUUAUUUAAGAAUGAGUUUCGCUCUUGUUGCCCAGGCUGGAGUACAGCAACACCAUCUCAGCUCACUGCAACCUCUGCCUUCUGGGUUCAAGCGAUUCUCCUGCCUCAGCCUCCCACGUAGCUGGGACUACAGGCACCCACCACCAUGCCUGGCUAAUUUUUGCAUUUUUAGCAGAGAUGGGGUUUCACCAUGUUGGUCAGGCUGGUCUCGAACUCUUGACCUCAGGUGAUCCACCCACCUCAGCCUCCCAAAGUGCUGGGAUUAUAGGCGUAAGCCACCACACCCGGCCUAGUCCACCUUAUUUUAUUGUGGCUACACUGUAAAUCCAUUCUGGAAGUGGCCAGGGUCAUGUCUCUAUACUAGGGGUUCAGCUGCAGAUAGUGGGGAGCAUUUCCAAGGAGGCCUGAGAGAAGGCAGGUGUUAUGCAUGAUGCAAAACAGCAGGGUGAUGGCAGAGCUCUGACCUCAAUGCUCCUGAACUAGAGGUGGUCGUUAGGACUAGGUUGUUUUCCAACAGCUGACACCCCUGUGAUUGGACCAAAGAGUUAGAUAUUUUAACCUAGUGUGUAAACGUGGUUAAUCUCCGGCUUCUGUUUAAGCAAUGGCCCAUCUUCCUGGAAACAUUCCUGCUCUCUGAGCCCUGGGAUCUUGGAAUAGAACCACUUGCCGGAAGUGGCCAUUGCUGCUCCACCACUGUAGAAAAAUCUCCUGCCCAGGUGCCCAGGCUUCUCUGUUUUAUCAGCUGCUGCAAGAUUCUCCAUCACCUCCCCAAGCAGACCCAGCAGGAAUCCAACCAUUGCAAGCCUAUCACUUUUCAACAACGUGGACACUUACAUGGUAAGACUAGAUCCACGUUAUGCUGGAGUGAGGAGAGGCUCAGUAAAGCUUCCUAUCUCCCAGAGAAGCUAUGUGCUGAGAACUGACCCAGCCAGUUGUCCUGGACAGUAAGUGAAUCAAUCGGUAGAAGCCUCUGCUAUGCGCCUGGGCUCUGUGUUCAGUACUGUAGUUUAUACGAAAGAAGCCAAGAAAGAUGUGGUCCUGCCGUCCGUGAAGUUGCACCCUAGUCUAACUCACAAGACUAACGAACAUGUGGGCUGAGAUCAUACGAUAAGGCCGCAUGACCAUUCUGGCCUUCGGUAAACCCAAGCCUGAACAUAUAUCUAAAGCUAUGGUGCUUCGUUAAAUAAUACUGCACAUUGUUAUUUAACUUUUCUUCUAUGUCUUGUACCACCAUAAGGUCAUAAAUUCCUCUAAAGUAGGAAGCACAACUUACCCUUUUUAGGGUCUCAUGCAUCCCCCCACCCCCUACAGCUUUCAGCACAGGUGCUUGUGAUGUUGUUACUGGAUGCUCUGGUGAGUAUAAUUGCGUGAAACACAAUAGAAUUGCAAUAGGAGUUUGUGUACGGGAGUAAUCUGGGUGGGCUGGGGUAGUUGGAGAGGGAGGCUUCCCUGGAACUACAAAGGGCAAUUGACAGUAAAAAUACCACAGUUUUUUUUUCUUUUCCUUUUGAAAGUAGUGAUUAAAGACAACAUUUAAAAAACUGUAAAAGUGUAAAUAUUCAUUAUAGAAACAUGUCAAAUGAAGAAAAAUAUAAAGAAGGAGAUUCAAAUCACGGGUAAUUUCAUUCCCAGAAUGAGUGAGCUCACAGAAUACAUAAUUAUCAACUGUAACAAGUGCAGUGAAGAAAGAGACCAGCAAGAGAAUAAAUCUGAGAGACCUGAUCUAGAAUAGAGGAGGCCUCUCCCAGGAUGCAACAUUGAAGCUGAGACCUGAAGGAUGAGCAGGGCUGAGAUGGAUGAAGAGAGAGAGAAGCACAUAACAGGAGAGACAGCUUUUCACUAUGUUGGCCCAGAUGGUCUCGAACUCCUGACUUCAAGUGAUCCACCUGCCUUGGCCUCCCAAAGUGCAAGGAUUACAGGCGUGAGCCACCGCACCUGGCCGCAUUUAUGAUUUCUUUGUUACAAACAUUACAAUUAUACUCUUUUAGUUAUUCUUUAAAUGUACAAUAAAUUGUUGACUGCAGUCUUCCUGUUGUGCUAUCAAAUACUGGAUCGUAUUCAUUUCUUUUACCUAUAUUUUGUACCCAUUAAUCAUACCCACUCCCCUGCACCCUGCCUCCAAUUUAAGUAAUUUUUAACAGCCUCAGAGACAGGCAAAAUGUAUCUUCAGGACUCUUCAUUCCCCUCAAGUAUCUCGGGUCCUCAUUCUGGUCCCCUAUUUAAUCACCCUCUCUGAAUCCCCUUCCCCCGAUAUUACCUUUCCUAGGGGAUAAUGGUUCAAUGGAGGAUAAUGGUUUAAUGGGUUUUUUAGUCUCUCUCCCUAUCUACCCUCUCACCAUAUCUGUAUUUUAACCGGGCUUUCUGGUGACAAUACUGUGCCUCUAGAGGAACUGUCUGAAUUGUGGGGAUUUGAGGCAGCAACUUGGCAGGCUGUUGAGGGGAUAAGAGGGUUGCAUUUGGGGAGCGGGUAUACCUCUCAAAUCCCCAUUCUGCAGACAGUCACCUACACAUGAGCAUUCCCUGCUGAGAAGCUGGCUGGAGCUUCUUUUGGCUGCGCCUCCCAUCUCCUGCCGUAGUCUGGCAGGCAUGAGCAGGAACGUGGGCAAAAGCCUUGCUUCCCUGUUCGGAGCAGAGCAUUAACUGUUCUGUGUUGUUGGCUGAGAACAAUUAGUGCAGGUUUCUCUGGGUAACUGGGUGAAACACAGGCCCUGUGCAUAAUUCUACGUGCUCACCCCUUGCCUGCAUAUGACUAUUUUCAAACAAAUUUCCCAUCCAGAAGUGCUCAGCUUCUCAGAGAGCCCCCAUGCCUGGCUUCUUGCUCUGGCCCUCCACCGAGCUGGGACGCAGCUGGAUUGCAAUUCCAUGGCCGUCCACUUCCUGCUGCUCCACGCUGGACUGUGGUCAUCCUCGUGCUAAGGAAGGUCACGGGCUUGUUAAUUAGCUGGAAAGCAAAGACAGACAGGAUACAAAUGUUCCUAGAAAGAAACUAGCAUAGUGUGACGUCAGUACUGUUUUCAACUUUUAGCUGCUACCCUUUCCUGUUUCCUGAGGACAUUUCAACAUGACUUCGAGCACAGUUAAAGUGAACUGCCAAGGUUAAGCGAGGUAUGGGCCUCAGAGCCACAAUGCACUGAUUUUUCUCUUGGUUUCUCAAAGGGAAGCUUUCCUUCCUUACGGAAUCUCCCAGCCCCUAAUUCUAUAAUACUACUCGCUUAGUUUGGCUGUGGUGAAACCCACCUUGUCCUCUACUAAAGAUAUGGAACGAAGACCUCGUCAGUCAAUCUUCCAUGAUCCCGGCCACCGCAAUUGGCUCAGGUCGUUGCUGCCAUGAAGUAAGAGUCUGUCUGGAAAUGAAGGCGAGCAGAGGCCACAAAGCUGAGACAUGGAGACAGAGAGAGUCCUGAUGUUAUUAUUUGAACCAUUGAGUCCAGCUGUGCCUGAAACUCUUCAGUGAGCCAAGAAAUUCCUUUUUGGCUUAAGCCAAUUGGAGUCGUGUUUGUGAUACUUGCAAAUGAAAGGAGUUAUUGACUAAUAAAACUGCCAUUUCUAUCUCUCCAAGAAUUAGGAAAUACUUCUUUAAAACUGUUUAUUUGCAGUAUGCUUUAUUCCUUCCCACAAAAAAGAGGCAGCUUAUAAAAGUAAAUAUGAAAAAUAGGCACAAAGGGUGUAUAAUACAUGAAAUACAUGUGUAUAUGUCUAGCACAGUCUUUAUAUUAAGUUGACAAAAAUUAUUAUUAUUAUUAUUAUUUUUGCAACAGAGUUUCACUCUUGUCACCCAGGCUGGAGUUCAAUGGCAUGAUCUCGGCUCACUGCAACCUCCACCUCCUGGGUUCAAGUGAUUCUCCAGCUUCAGCCUCCCGAGUAGCUGGAAUUACAGGUGCCCGCCACCACCAGCCCAGUUAAUUUUUGUAUUUUUGGUAGAGAUGGGGUUUCACCAUGUAGGCCAGGCUGGUCUUGAAUUCCUGACCUCAGGUGAUCUGCCUACCUUGGCCUCCCAAAGUGCUGGGAUUACAGGCGUAAGUCACUGCACCUGGCCCAAAAAUUAUUUUUUAAGUUACAGUACGAACUACUGCUGAGGGUGCUGGGUAAUUAACAUUGUUGGAGAAAUUAUAAACUGGUGCAAACCUUCUGGAGAUAAAUUUGACAAUGCUUAUUCAUAUCCAUUGUUUGUCUAUAAUCAACCAUUCUUCUUUUAGGAAUGCAUCUGAAAGAAAUAAUUACAUAAAUAAGGAGAUAUGCAAAGAUUUAGCUAUGAGAAUGAUUGUUUAAUCACCAGAAGUUGGAAAACAGCCUGAAUAUCCAAUGACAUAAAAACAAAAUUGGCGGGGCGCGGUGGCUCACGCCUGUAAUCCCAGCACUUUGGGAGGCCGAGGCGGGCGGAUCACAAGGUCAGAGAUCGAGACCAUCCUGGCUAAGACGGUGAAACCCCAUCUCUACUAAAAAUCAAAAAAUUAGCCGGGCCUGGUGGCGGGUGUCUGUAGUCCCAGCUACUUGGGAGGCUGAGGCAGGAGAAUGGCCUGAACCCAGGAGGCGGAGCUGGCAGUGAGCCGAGAUGAUGCCACUGCACUCCAGCCUGGGCGACAGAGAGAGACUCUGUCUCAAAAAAAAAAAAAAAAAAUUAUCUGUCCACCAAUUGGAAUACCAUGUAUUUAUUAAAAUAAUGAUGUGGAAUUUUAUUUACUGACUUGGAACAAUAUUCAUAUAUUGUGAACUGGCUUUGGACUAAUACAUUUAAAUUCUCCCUAGGCUGACUGGGCGCGGUGGUCCGUGCCUGUAAUCCCAGCACUAUGGGAGGCUGAGACGGGUGGAUCACUUGAGAGCAGGAAUUUGAGACCAGCCUGGCCAAGAUGGUGAAACUCCAUCUCUACAAAAAUACAAAAAUUAGCCAGGCAUGGUGGCAUGCACCUGUAAUCCCAGCUACUCAGGAGGCUGAGGCAGGAGAAUCGCUUGAACCCGGGAGGUGGAGGUUGCAGUGAGCCGAGAUUGCACCACUGCACUCCACCGUGGGUGACAGAGUGAGAUGCUGUCUCAAUAAAAUAAAAUAAAACAAUUAAUUCUCCCUAGGCUGCAGCAAGAAUCGAAUGAAUCACUCUUAACCCCAUGCCAAACAAACAAACAAACAAACAAAAAAACCCUACUUGUUGGUUGUGGGCCUUAAAAAGAGAGCUGUAUAGAAGUGGCAAAAAUUAAGUUUGUGUAUCCUUGCUUGGGUCAAAUUUGGCUGUCCAUAGAUAUGAGGUUAAUUUUUUCCUGUUAGAGCAUGUGCUGGUUCUAUCUAUACAUGCUCCAAUUUUCAAAUAUUUCACUAAUAUUAGGAGAUUAUCUGUUGGCAUUGAGUUGGGUCUCAAAGUAUCAUCUAUUCUAGACCAAUGGUCACCAAAAUGUAUGUAUCCUCAAAAUAAAGCACUGGU
rnacentral:lncRNA from 10 species